AUUGUGUUGUCAUUGUUUGGAUUCUGCCUUAGCAUAUUGGGCUUUGAGGUUCUUGCAGGCCAGAGUAGGUGAUUCAUAAAUGUUUGAGAUUGGUUAAAAUAAAAAGUUAGCAUAGCUCAGCAAGAUUUUCGCCCUCAAGAUUGAUGCUGCUAGCUUGUCAGUGGAGUUCUCUGUCUAUCAAGAGGCCGGUAGCAGGUGGAUUAAGACUUCCGGUUUGGGGUGCCUCUGCCUCCCUCCUCAGCUCCCACGCUUCCCCAGGUGCAGUGUCAGAACGCGACUUCGAGUGCCGCCGAUGGGUCUGUCCCUUUUCUCUAGAUAAGCUCUUUACAGUGCUUGAAAUGAAUGGUAAGAACUGACACUGGGGGCCUCUCCUUUUUGCUCCCCUUUACGUGAAUCAUUUGUGUGGUUGCAAAUGGAGUUUUCAUACCCUUGCCUCAAAUUAGAAUGUUAUCACCGUAAAGCAGUGUUUGCUGUGAAAGCAGCCGCAUCCCGAUAAUGGCGAAUUCCAUUCCCUCCCCAAGCUUCUGACUUGAGAUGUUUAGAGGAAUAAAAGAAAAAGAAAUAACAAUUGAUUGCUUCCUGUUUGGGGUUUUUCUUAAGCGAAAAGGAAUAAAUCUUCUUCUCACUUGAAACUGUUUGGCCUCUGCGUGUGAUAUAUUAAUGAGUGCAAAAGAAUUGACAUCAAACAAUGGUUUAUUGCAGAAAUUGCUGUAGUUAAGGCUGAGAAUGUGCUUUCAGUCAACACCCCAUGCCAACCUGUCAUCCCGCUUCCUCGUAAACGUCUUUGCAGGUGAUACAUAAACAUGCCAAGUGCACCACACAAUGCCCCAUGUGAGCGCUGGCUUGUCACAGUGCUUAGAUGCACAGAUGUUAUUUUUGCACUCCGAUUCAGAAGAUUUUGUUACGCAUCAGAAUUAUCAUAAACAUCAGCUCAUAUAGAUAGGGAAGGGAAAUUUUUUUUCUGUCUUUUUUUUUUUUUUUCUUUUUAGGGCCUCUGUGGCAUGAGGAAUAUUUAUCUAAUAGAAUGUCUCCAUUAUAUUGGUUGUUUGAGAUGAAGUUAAAAUCUCAGGUGUUGGCCUUGUUGGUUGGCGAGAAGUUAGUUGGUAUUUCCCCUCUUCUGAAAAAACAUUUCAUAAAUAACAUUUAUAAGAUUUUUUCUUGAACUGUUUGUAAUAUUUUUUCUUGAACUGUUGUAUAGCUUUGGAGAUGGGUUCUCUUCAGAAGCCUCAGGAGCCAUCCAGAUGUAUUCUCUGUAGCAGUGUGGAUUUGGCUGUUUUGUGUGAUGUGCCUUUAACAGACCUGUCAGCUUUCUUCUGUUUUCUAUCCCGCCGCAGCCGGCCGAUUAGGUUCUGUGACGCUUAUCCAAUAUAUUAUAAUGCUUUAUAGGAUCUUUGGCCCAAACCUAGAGUUUGUCUCAUUCUGGGUUUGGAUUGUCUGUUGGCAGUUCAUUACACUGUGUUUGGCCUCUGAGUUUCCCAAACCAGCUGUGCCUACUGCUGUUUGCACAGGCUCAGCGGGUGCCAAAGGCUGGCACAGGGAAGGGUAAACAGAUGCUGGGGCUCUGUCCAGAUUCAGACCUCUAGUGCUUUUUAGCAUAUUUGUAUAUGGUUUGAAUUUUUUAUUUUCUCUAUAUUGUGAUGUUUCUACACCUUAAAAACCUUUCUGGCUGAGGAGAGAGUGUCCCUCCCUGUGCAAACCAGUUCUUAGAGGCAGCAAAGGAUUAGCAGGGACCAGACCUUUGAUAUGAAACCUAACCAAUCCAGCGUCUUAGCUCCUCCACCUGGCAUAUUUGCACCAAGCCAAUAUUUGCCCUGCCCUAAACCAUCCCAGGGCCUGCUGCCCAACCGGAGGCCGGUCUGUAGGAAUUCUUCAAACUAGCCCAUCUUCAACUGUUAACUCUGCCUGCCUGGCUUUUUCUGUGGAAACCCCAGAGGGGGCUCUGGCCAAAUGUCCCCCUCACUCCUG
rnacentral:lncRNA from 1 species